rnacentral:lncRNA from 1 species
GUUUAUGCCCUGCACCUCACAUUCUGGAUAAACCGGUAUAGCACAGAAGUAGCACUUUCGGCAUUUGAUUGUUCCUACAUAUUCUGGCGUUGGGAAUAGUGUAAGUUUGGACUUCGGUGAAUCUUUCUAUGUGAGGAGCUUCUAGUCAUCACAAAUCUAUGACUCCUACUGUUGUUUCUAGUCCACAGGAUGCAGAUAUUGUAGAACGCCUCAGAGUACAGAGUACAGCUCGCUUGUUGGGCUAUUCUUUCAUUCUUUACUCCUUUGUGCCAUUAGGGUGGCCAGGUUAUUGUGAUUUUUUGCGUUGUAAAUAUUUGUGGAUGCAGAGGGCGUUAAUAUUCAAUUAUUGCAAUUACUCUCGAGUCGUAAAUAUACUACUGACUGGCAAGUCGCAACAUGAUAUCUCUAUCUGAUGUUUGUUUCGUGUCUCAGUUAUGUGUGGUUGAUCUCUUGCUCGCUUCAACAAAAUACUAAACUUUGCCUAAUGUUUCUUACAUUCUCAUAUGCACAGAUUUCGGAACAUGAGCGGGACGUCUGUGUCGUCUACUUCUUGAUGACUGGAAUCAAUGUAGGACUUGGUCUACCUAUGUAAAUAUACACACGAUACGAAGCUUUGAAGCGGGAAAGAGGUCUCCACAACCACUCAAAAUUGAAAAAUGUUCUCUAGUUUGUGAAUUAAUUUCCUGUUGGCCCCACAGGCAUUAAAUGGCACCACCAAAUGAUUCUACCCUAACUUCAAUUGGAUCAGCAUACCUGCUGAAGCGUCUCGGUCCUCGGGCAAUCUGCAUUCUGCAAUGAAGCAUCAAAAUACCAAGUCAAUACUUCCUUGUGAAGUCAGACGUUUUUGCUCCAUAUCCACAUUCAGCUUCUUGACUUGGACUUGCAGGGGGGGCGACGAGCGAAAAACACAGUGGCCCAAAAGGAAACAAUCCAAAUACAAACUCGCGCACGCGGCUCCUCUCCCGCAUGUUUGAAAGUCUCGAUAUUCACCUCGGAGUGAUGGACGCAGCUAGCUUCACUCCGAAGAUUGGUAGGAGUAUUCCGAAGCAUCUCGUCUCUAACAAAUGAGAAUGGUGAUCUCCUCCACUGAAAUUACGUGAGACGAGAUGGUAAUGAACUCGUCUUGAACAGUUUAUUCGCCAUGAGACUCUUGUGGUGCGGUGAUAGUUGACUCUUGUGAACGUUUCUUCCUUGUGCGAGGGCUUUCAUCCAGAAGUGAGCGAGGAUGUAUUUCAUUACAUUCAUCCAAUUGUCGACUGAAGCUGAGGAUGAACAUCUCGUCUGACCAACGGAUGGGGCGUUAAGAUGGAUGAUGUUUUCUUCACGUGUUAAAUUUCAUCUUCAAUGUGUUAUAAUUCAUGUACAGACAUAAAUGUGUAGUUCUUGUUGAGAUCAUUAAAUGUAGCCGGUCCUCUC